GAUGAAGAACGUAGCGAAAUGCGAUAAGUAAUGUGAAUUGCAGAAUUCAGUGAAUCAUCGAGUCUUUGAACGCACAUUGCGCCCCCUGGUAUUCCGGGGGGCAUGCCUGUCCGAGCGUCAUUGCUGCCCUCAAGCACGGCUUGUGUGUUGGGCCCCCGUCCCCGGUUUCCCCCGGGGACGGGCCCGAAAGGCAGCGGCGGCACCGCGUCCGGUCCUCGAGCGUAUGGGUCUUUGUCACCCGCUCUGUAGGCCCGGCCGGCGCCAGCCGACACCCAACUUUAUUUCUAAGGUUGACCUCGGAUCAGGUAGGGAUACCCGCUGAACUUAAGCAUAUCAAUAAGCGGAGGA
rnacentral:misc_RNA from 1 species